rnacentral:rRNA from 1 species
UACGUAGGGACCAAGCGUUGUUCGGAUUUACUGGGCGUAAAGGGCGCGUAGGCGGCAAUUCAAGUCAUCUGUGAAAUCUCUGGGCUUAACCCAGAACGGCCAGGUGAUACUGCUUUGCUAGAGUGCGGAAGGGGCAAUCGGAAUUCUUGGUGUAGCGGUGAAAUGCGUAGAUAUCAAGAGGAACACCUGAGGUGAAGACGGGUUGCUGGGCCGACACUGACGCUGAGGAGCGAAAGCGUGGGGAGCGAACAGG